rnacentral:rRNA from 1 species
UACGGAGGAUCCAAGCGUUAUCCGGAAUCAUUGGGUUUAAAGGGUCCGUAGGCGGUUUGGUAAGUCAGUGGUGAAAGCCCAUCGCUCAACGAUGGAACGGCCAUUGAUACUGCCAGACUUGAAUUAUUGUGAAGUAACUAGAAUAUGUAGUGUAGCGGUGAAAUGCUUAGAUAUUACAUGGAAUACCAAUUGCGAAGGCAGGUUACUAACAAUAUAUUGACGCUGAUGGACGAAAGCGUGGGGAGCGAACAGG